UUAAUUAUGAAGGGUAUGAUCUUGGCUCAGAACGAACGCUGGCGGCGUGGAUUAGGCAUGCAAGUCGAACGAGGGAGCAUUCCGAAAGGGGUGCAAACCGAGUGGCGUAAGGGUGAGUAAUGCAUUGAUAACCUACCUUCGAGAUGAGAAUAACAACGUUCCAAGCAAUUGGGGCUACCGAAAGGGUUGCUAAUACUCAAUGAAACUAUUAUUGCUUUGGUGGUGAUAGUCAAAUAGGCGGAAUCGAAAGAUUCCACUUGCUUGAGGAGGGGUCAAUGUCCUAUCAGCUAGUUGGCAGGGUAAUGGCCUACCAAGGCGAAGACGGGUAGCCGGCCUGAGAGGGUGGUCGGCCACACUGGGACUGAGACACUGCCCAGACUCCUACGGGAGGCUGCAGUCGAGAAUCUUUCGCAAUGCCCGAAAGGGUGACGAAGCGACGCCGCGUGCGGGAAGAAGGCCUUCGGGUUGUAAACCGCUGUCGGGAGUUAAGAAAUGCAUGGAUGUUAAUAGCGUCCUUGCUUGACUAAGGCUCCGGAGGAAGCCACGGCUAACUCUGUGCCAGCAGCCGCGGUAAUACAGAGGCGGCAAGCGUUGUUCGGAAUUAUUGGGCGUAAAGAGCACGUAGGCGGCCGUGUAAGUCGGUUGUGAAAGCCUUCCGCUCAACGGAAGGACGGCAUCCGAUACUGCAUGGCUCGAGUGCGGGAGGGGAGAGUGGAACUUCUGGUGGAGCGGUGAAAUGCGUAGAUAUCAGAAGGAACACCGGCGGCGAAGGCGACUCUCUGGUCCGUAACUGACGCUGAGUGUGCGAAAGCUAGGGGAGCAAACGGGAUUAGAUACCCCGGUAGUCCUAGCCGUAAACGAUGGGCACUAAGUAGAGGGGUUUUGAUUAUCUCUCUGCCGGAGCUAACGCAUUAAGUGCCCCGCCUGGGGAGUACGGCCGCAAGGCUAAAACUCAAAAGAAUUGACGGGGGCUCGCACAAGCGGUGGAGCAUGUGGCUUAAUUCGAUGCAACGCGAAGAACCUUACCGGGGUUUGACAUGGUAGAAGUAGAAGCCCGAAAGGGUAACGAACGGUAUCCAGUCCGUAAUUAUCACAGGUGUUGCAUGGCUGUCGUCAGCUCGUGUCGUGAGACGUUGGGUUAAGUCCCCUAACGAGCGAAACCCUUGUCUUUAGUUGCCAACGGGUCAUGCUGGGCACUCUAAAGAGACUGCCGUCGUCAAGACGGAGGAAGGUGGGGAUGACGUCAAGUCAUCAUGGCCCUUAUAUCCCGGGCUGCACACGUGCUACAAUGGUCGAUACAAAGGGAUGCUAAGCCGUAAGGCGGAGCGAAACCCAGAAAGUCGAUCCCAGUUCAGAUUGGAGGCUGAAACCCGCCUCCAUGAAGUAGGAAUCGCUAGUAAUCGCGGAUCAGCUACGCCGCGGUGAAUAUGUUCCCGAGCCUUGUACACACCGCCCGUCAAGCCACCCAAGCAAGAUGCACCCAAAAUCACCGGCCUAACCUGCAAAGGAGGGAAGUGCUUAAGGUGUGUUUUGUGAGGAGGACUAAGUCGUAACAAGGUAGUCGUAGGAGAACCUGCGGCUGGAUCACCUCCUUUCUAAGGAG
rnacentral:rRNA from 1 species